rnacentral:tRNA from 1 species
CUGCAUGUGGACCAGGCCACGGUCGGCCGCCGUAUCGCGGCGAUGGAGCGCGCCCUGGGUUCGACGCUCGUCCUGCGGAC